GGUCUGUGACGAAUAGCAAAAGGUCUCAUUGUCUUGAGACUUGCACUUCCAUUACCUUUUCUCCCAGCAGUUUCUUACCAGUCGUGCCACAAUACUGCUGUGACUGGCAGCGUGUUUGCUGACAGCUCAUGGUAUGCUCAGUUCUUGUUAACCUGAAGUAUUGCAGAUAGGAUUGUGAUCAGCAUCCAGCAGACCUACUUGAAGGAGUUUGGGGUCUUGGAUUGUUACAUCUGGACAUAGGAUCUGUCUUUUCUGCCGGGGCU